ensembl:misc_RNA predicted gene, 27280
GGGAGGGGCCGUGAGCGGCUGCGGUUGGGGUGCGACCUGAGGUCGUGGGGACAAGUCAG